GCAUAUCAAUAAGCGGAGGAAAAGAAACUAACAAGGAUUCCCCUAGUAGCGGCGAGCGAACCGGGAUGAGCUCAAAUUUGUAAUCUGGCGUCCUCCGGGCGUCCGAGUUGUAAUCUAUAGAAGCGUCUUCCGUGCCGGACCGCGUCCAAGUCCCUUGGAACAGGGCGUCAAAGAGGGUGACAAUCCCGUGCUUGAUGCGACGACCGGUGCACUGUGAUACGCUCUCUACGAGUCGAGUUGUUUGGGAAUGCAGCUCAAAGUGGGUGGUAAAUUCCAUCUAAAGCUAAAUAUUGGCGAGAGACCGAUAGCGAACAAGUACCGUGAGGGAAAGAUGAAAAGCACUUUGGAAAGAGAGUUAAACAGUAUGUGAAAUUGUUGAAAGGA
rnacentral:rRNA from 1 species